rnacentral:rRNA from 1 species
ACUUUAAGCGAGGAGGAGGCUCUUUAAUACAGAAGUGGACGUUACUCGCAGAAUAAGCACCGGCUAACUCUGUGCCAGCAGCCGCGGUAAUACAGAGGGUGCGAGCGUUAAUCGGAUUUACUGGGCGUAAAGCGGCGUAGGCGGCUUUUUAAGUCGGAUGUGAAAUCCCUGAGCUUAACUUAGGAAUUGCAUUCGAUACUGGAAAGCUAGAGUAUGGGAGAGGAUGGUAGAAUUCCAGGUGUAGCGGUGAAAUGCGUAGAGAUCUGGAGGAAUACCGAUGGCGAAGGCAGCCAUCUGGCCUAAUACUGACGCUGAGGUACGAAAGCAUGGGGAGCAAACAGGAUUAGAUACCCUGGUAGUCCAUGCCGUAAACGAUGUCUACUAGCCGUUGGGGCCUUUGAGGCUUUAGUGGCGC